CGAAGGGGGCUAGCGUUGUUCGGAAUUACUGGGCGUAAAGCGCGCGUAGGCGGUUUUCCAAGUCGGGCGUGAAAGCCCCGGGCUCAACCCGGGAAAUGCGCUCGAAACUUGAAGACUGGAGGCCGGAAGAGGGUAGUGGAAUUCUCAGUGUAGAGGUGAAGUUCGUAGAUAUUGGGAAGAACACCAGUGGCGAAGGCGGCUACCUGGUCCGGAUCUGACGCUGAGGCGCGAAAGCGUGGGGAGCAAACAGGAUUAGAUACCCUGGUAGUCCACGCCGUAAACGAUGAGUGCUUGAUGUUGGGGGGCCUAGCCCCUCAGUGUCGUAGCUAACGUGAUAAGCACUCCGCCUGGGGAGUACGGCCGCAAGGUUA
rnacentral:rRNA from 1 species